GAGAAGUCUGGAGCUCAACUAAUCCUAGGAUUAACUCAUGACUCCUGAAAGAAUAAGAUCCUUAAUAGGACGAACAAUGGCAACAAUGAUAAUAGACAUUUGAUGAUACAUAACUGUUACAAAUAAAGAUGGUGAAACUUAUAGUAAAGCAAGGCAAUCAAACUAAGCUUACCAAAACCUUUGAACUUCUUAAAUAAAAAACAUGAUGUAGCCAAACCUUUAAACCCAAGAGAAGACACAAAAUACAUAAUUAUC
rnacentral:misc_RNA from 1 species